CGAACGCUGGCGGCGUGCUUAACACAUGCAAGUCGAACGGAAAGGCCCUGCUUUUGUGGGGUGCUCGAGUGGCGAACGGAUGAGUAACACGUGAGUAACCUGCCCUUGACUUUGGGAUAACUUCAGGAAACUGGGGCUAAUACCGGAUAGGAGCUCCUGCUGCAUGGUGGGGGUUGGAAAGUUUCGGCGGUUGGGGAUGGACUCGCGGCUUAUCAGCUUGUUGGUGGGGUAGUGGCUUACCAAGGCUUUGACGGGUAGCCGGCCUGAGAGGGUGACCGGCCACAUUGGGACUGAGAUACGGCCCAGACUCCUACGGGAGGCAGCAGUGGGGAAUAUUGCACAAUGGGCGGAAGCCUGAUGCAGCAACGCCGCGUGCGGGAUGACGGCCUUCGGGUUGUAAACCGCUUUCGCCUGUGACGAAGCGUGAGUGACGGUAAUGGGUAAAGAAGCACCGGCUAACUACGUG
rnacentral:rRNA from 1 species